rnacentral:pre_miRNA from 1 species
AUUCUACUCCCUCCGUUGCACAAUACAUGCCUUCUAUUUGUCAAAAUAUAUAUGUAUCUAGACAUGUUUUAGUAUAUAGGUACAUCCAUUUUUGGACAAAUGGAGUAUUUUGGAACGGAGGGAGUACACA